rnacentral:lncRNA from 1 species
GUGAGGAGAAAGGAGUAGGAAGGCACAGAGGACCUAACUGGCAAAAACAAAUAAGUGAGGUAGAUAAAAAGAAUGAAUCUAAUGGCUUCACCUGACUUAGGCACAGUUUUAAGGGGCCUGACUUAGGCCUGGGGACUUAUGUUUUUAGCUGGGCUCUGUUGGCCUUUUUGAUGUGGGAGUGAUUAAGCAGGAAUGCCGUCUACUUUCAGAGCAGUUGGAGUCAUGAAGUCUUUUCUAAGCAGGAGUGAGUCUUUCUUUUUGGAACUUUUAAACAAACACUAGGUCUCCUGGCUGGAACGAAUGGUAGGACUUUGUCAGGUCAGGAAUUGGAUUGGGAUGGGCUCCUCAAACAAGUGGCAGGAUGAUCUCUUGUACCUGUUGGAGAGACUAUAGGUACUGUAAUAAAUUAAUUUGUGAUAUUUCUGCUAAUUUGGCAUCUCUUAGCUUAGACAAGAUAGGCAGCGCCUUCUUAUACAUGAUUUCAAAGGGUGAGAACUUAGCCUGAUAAGGGGUGCACUUUACUUUAAGUAGGGCUAAAGGAAGGAGACUUACUUAAUUUACACUGGUUUUUAAGAUCAAUAUUGUAAGAGUGUUUUUAAUGUGUGGUUCAUGCGUUCUACUUGCCUGGAGCUCUGAGGUUGAUAGGCACAAUGGAGUUUCUAUUGAAUGUUUAACGCCUUACUGACUGACUGAGCUAUAGGUGAGGUGAAGGCUGCUCUAUUAUCAGACUUUAUGGCAGCAGGCAGCCUAUAUUGAGGGAUGAUUUCAUUGAGUAAAAACUUAACUACUGUGUUGGUGGUUUCGUUUUCGGUAGCAAAUGCCUUAGUCGAUCUGGAGAAGGUGUCUACUAGUACUAGAAGGUAUUUGUCCUUAACCUGGUAUGGUUUGACUUCUGUAAAGUCAAUUUCUUACUUUUUUCUUGACGAGUUUUUUCAGAGACAGUGGCCUGGGCUGGGUUUAGGACUUUGUUUGGCUUUUACGUGGGCGCAGGUUGUGCACUUGAGAGCUGCUUAAUCUGUUAGGCUUUGAAGACGGGGGAUCUUAAAAUGGCUCCGGAGGAGCUGAGGUAGCUUUGCUCUUUUUAAGUGGGUGGUAGACUGUAGGUGGCUGAUUAAAGUUUCUUUAAGAGUUCAGGGUGUGAAGAUUCUAGAGUCAGGAAGAAUCUACUAACUUUCCUGAUUUGUAUUGGCUCUGAGAUCUGAAGCCAGUUUUUUUGUUGUUGUUGAGUAUACGGGAUUGUCAGGCAGAUCUGGCUGUGGAAAGGAGACUGUGGGCAGCAAGUUUAGAGGCGUGACUGAAAGUCUUGCUGCGACCUGAGCUGCUGAAUCAGCUUUCUGGUUACUAUGGGCUACGGCCGUGUUUUCUUUUUGAUGUCCUUUGCAGUGGAUCACAGCUAGCUGCUGAGACAGACAAGGGGAGGGGGUCCUGUGAUGGUAUCAGUCAGAUGCCUGUCUGGCCACUCCCGCUGAGGGGACUUGGGCUCCUCUUAGCAUUGGCAGGCCGGUAUAAACUUCCACCUCGGAUCGAGCUGUGCCUGAUGCUGCCUUAAGCCUUAUGAGGUCGCCACGGAACCGCAGGUGAGGGCCCACUUGAACUCCGUAGCUUUCACCGUGUAGCUACAAACUGGAGGACAAGCGCAAGCCCUUGUCCUCCCUCAUUCAUUCAUUAUUCACACAGAGUUUAUAACAGUUUUUUUUUUUCUUUCUUGGAGAUUCUUCAAGAAACUUGAACAAGAGAAAGACUAGAGAUAGGAAAAGAGAGAGAGAGAGUGACUGGCCUGCCAGAAACCAGGACUCAGUCCUCCAGCAUCCUGGGAUGUGGACUGAGUCAAGAGAGGGUCCCUGUCAGGGCCAGUUCCCUCCUAGACAGAGACACAGAGGUGCCUAACAGAAAACCAGAGCUCUACCUUCUAGCGUCCUAAAGAAACGGGCAGAGUCAAAAGAGGGACGCCCUCAUCAGGGCCGCUUCCCUCUUACUAGAACUGAAGUCAGAUCUGACCUACCUGACCUUGGGGUCAGAAGUUGAGGACUCAGAGGUGGAAUUUUUGUGGGCACCCACACAGUAGUCGAUCCGCUCUCCUUUGGAAGAUGGUCACCUUUCGGGGACCUGAAAAUUUUUUUUCAGGUGGCGCCCCCGCUACAAGCCGGCCGUCCUUCCGGGGGAGCCCGCAGCAGGCCCGGAGCUAACCCGGCUCUCGCCUGGUGGCGUUUCUUGCUCGGGCCUCCAAAUGUUGUACUUGAGCGAGUUAGAGAAAAUGCCACACUUUGAGGUGAAUUAAGAGUCUGUUUCUUUAGCCGGCGGCCAAGAGACGGCUAAUGCUUAAAGUUCUCUUGGCCCCGAAGAAGGGGCUAGAUUUUCUUUUAUACUUUAGUUUAGAAAGGGGAAGGGGGUCUAGUUAAAAGAAUUUUACAGAAGUAAAGUAGGCAAAAAAGUUAAAAGGAUAAAUUAUUACAGGAAAGUAAACAGUUCUAGGUCUAAGGGGUUUAAGACUAUUACAAAGUGAUAGAUGCGGGGCUUUAGGCAUUAUCAAUCGGACGAAUUCCUGGGAACUGCGGAUAUUGCUCGCCACAGUAUCUUAUCAGUUAAUUGCAUUCUUAGAUGUGCUAAGAGUCAGCUUGCACAGGUUAAGUCCUUGAGGGAAGGGGCUGCCGGUGAAAGAGCCAAGAUAAAGUCUGUCUAGCUCUCUUAGCUAAAAGACAGUCAAUUCAGGUAGAAACAAGGCUAAGUGAUUAAAAGAAAAGGAAAGUCUAAGAACAAAGUUAAUAAAAACAAAGUUAGGCAUUACAGAUGGGGUCAUCCUUAUAUUCAGCACAGUGUUUGUCCUGAAACUUCAAUGGAGUGCUCCUAGUUUGAUAACUUGGGCCAUGCCAGAUGCUUUGAAUUUCUCUUUCUUAACAACAGAUGUUUGAAUACAGCCCCGUGUCCCUCUCUGCUCCUUCCUGCCUUCCUCCUCUCCUCUUCCCUCCCUUCCUUUUCAAGAGCAGGGUUUGCAAACUUUUUCUUGAAAGCAUCAGAUAGUAAAUAUUUUAGAAUUCAUGGGCCAUACAGUCUCCUGUAGUAGUUACUCAACUCUGCCACCCAUAGCAUGAAAGCAGCUGAUAUAGGUUGAUUAUGUGUCCCCACCCAAAUCUCAUGUUACAAUGUAAUCAACAGUGUUAGAGGUGGGGCCUGGUGGGAAGAGAUUGGAUCAUGGGGGUGCAUUUCUCAUGAAUGAUUUAGCAUCAUGCUUUUGGUCCUGUCCUUGCAAUGGUGAGUGAGUUCUUGCAAGAUCUGGUUGUUUAUGAGUGUGUAACACCUCCCUCCUCACUCUCUUGCUCCCACUUCAACUUCGGCCAUGAUUGUAAGUUUCCUGAGGCCUCCACAGAAGCUCAGCAGAUGUCAUUGUCAUGUUCCCUGAACAGCCUACACAACUGUGAGCCAAGUAAACCCAGUGUCAGGUAUUUCUUUAUAGCAUGAGAGAACAGCCUAAUCCAGCAAUCAUAGACAAUAUGUAGCAAAUGGGCAUGGCUGUGUUUCGAUAAAACUUUAUUGAGAAAAACAUGUGCAGGCAGGUCAGAUUUGGCCCAUGGGCCAUAGUGUCCCAACCCCUGCUCUGGAAUAUUC